rnacentral:rRNA from 1 species
CUGCGGAAGGAUCAUUACUGUGAUUUACUACUACACUGCGUGAGCGGAACGAAAACAACAACACCUAAAAUGUGGAAUAUAGCAUAUAGUCGACAAGAGAAAUCUACGAAAAAACAAACAAAACUUUCAACAACGGAUCUCUUGGUUCUCGCAUCGAUGAAGAGCGCAGCGAAAUGCGAUACCUAGUGUGAAUUGCAGCCAUCGUGAAUCAUCGAGUUCUUGAACGCACAUUGCGCCCCUCGGCAUUCCGGGGGGCAUGCCUGUUUGAGCGUCGUUUCCAUCUUGCGCGUGCGCAGAGUUGGGGGAGCGGAGCGGACGACGUGUAAAGAGCGUCGGAGCUGCGACUCGCCUGAAAGGGAGCGAAGCUGGCCGAGCGAACUAGACUUUUUUUCAGGGACGCUUGGCGGCCGAGAGCGAGUGUUGCGAGACAACAAAAAGCUCGACCUCAAAUCAGGUAGGAAUACCCGCUGAACUUAAGCAUAUCAAUAAGGCGGAGGAA